UGGGGAAUCUUCCGCAAUGGACGAAAGUCUGACGGAGCAACGCCGCGUGAGUGAUGACGGCCUUCGGGUUGUAAAGCUCUGUUAAUCGGGACGAAUGGUUCUUGUGCGAAUAGUGCAAGGAUUUGACGGUACCGGAAUAGAAAGCCACGGCUAACUACGUGCCCGCAGCCGCGGUAAUACGUAGGUGGCAAGCGUUGUCCGGAAUUAUUGGGCGUAAAGCGCGCGCAGGCGGAUUGGUCAGUCUGUCUUAAAAGUUCGGGGCUUAACCCCGUGAUGGGAUGGAAACUUGCAAUCUAGAGUAUCGGAGAGGAAAGUGGAAUUCCUAGUGUAGCGGUGAAAUGCGUAGAUAUUAGGAAGAACACCAGUGGCGAAGGCGACUUUCUGGACGAAAACUGACGCUGAGGCGCGAAAGCCAGGGGAGCGAACGGG
rnacentral:rRNA from 1 species